ensembl:lncRNA
CAUUCAUGUAAUGUAUAUUAACUUGAAAUGAUGGAUGCAAUUUAAACUAUGUAAAGUUGUAAUUUCUGACUGAUUAGGAAGAAAAACUUUUAGAAGAAAGCUGAACUUCAGAAGCCUGCAUCUCAUUUAUAUUUAACAGGUCUAUUGAAUCCCUCUUUCUCAGCAGAAUCAUAGUGGUGCAUCAGAAAUUUUUAAGAGUUGCUUGUUGACUUGGAGGAGAAACCCAGAAGGAAUAUGUUGGAUACUUCAGACCUUUUACCUGGAAUUUCCAGGGCUGUGCCUGAGCAGCAGAGUUGCUCCUGGAGCAUUGGUCACCUGCUGGCACACAUCUUUGUCCCUCACUAGGGACAUCAGGGAGAGGAGGACCCAGACAACUGCCCAUCUUUCUCUCAGGUACGCUUUACCACUAACCAUCUUCACCCCUUUGGUAGCAUAUGGAGAACACCACAGAAACAGUAUGUUCUUCAUCACUUCUCUGCAAAGACUACAGAUGCUACGGUGGAUGGUGUAACUAAAGGUAUUUAAAUCUUAUUCGUGAUUCCUUGAGGCAGAGUGGUAGAAGUGUGAACAUUUCCAGGACGUACCUAGUCUUGUCAUGUAAAAAAAAAAUUAAAAAAUCUAUGCCCAGAUCAUUUAUCCAGCAACAACUGGCAGUAGAGUUCUUUGCAUAGGAUUGAAGUCCCUAUUACAUGGGACAGUGCACAGUUUUGUAAACAAAACAGGAAAGGUGCCAAGGUUUGAAAUGUAUAUUCCCACUCUGCCUGAUUAAUUUGGAUAGAGUGUAUUAAUUGGGAUGGGAAAAGUGUGGGUUUCCUGGGGAGGAAAAAAAAAAAAAAAAAAAAGCAGUGAUUCAUAAGAGUAAGUAAUUUUAACUUGCUUGUCUGUUGAUGUCUGAUUGCUUCCUAGGCUUUCUCGCUUGCUGGUGUCAUCAUUUUGUCCAAAAUCUUGGAAAGGUUUGAAUUUUGAUUUAGGGCCUAGUCCAACAUAGAUUGCAGUAUACUGAAAGAUUUCUGCUGACUUCAUUGUGCUUUGGAUCAAGCCCCUUUGAUGGCAUUUUGAACAUUUGCUUUCAAAUCUUUCUUCAUUUGGCAUCUUCAAUUUAUGUUCCUGAUAAAAUUCUCAUGGGUUACAAUAGCUUGAAGAGGAAUAUAUGCAUUUCUGUUGUGUUCCAGUGGCUUCAGUAUAUCGCAAGGGCAUUGUUAAGAAUAGCCACAAUAUAUCUCAGUUGAAAUCAUUAUUAAGUGUGUGCUUAAGGGACUGAUACAAUACCACUAAAAUCAGAAUUAAAAAACUACUUUGAUUUCACUCUUGCCAGACAGAAUUUUUC